UUCAGCUUUCAGACACAUUCCUCCACACGCUUCAGCAAGUUCUCAGCAGGAAUGUUAGUGUUGGUCCUGAGGCUCCUGUAGAGCCUCUAACUCUCCAUGAGUGUCUCACCUCAUACAGAACCUUCACACCUACAGGCCAACAGAUCUCCACCAUGAAGCUCCACAGCCUCAGCAUUAACCUCCUGCUUUCCCUCGUAUUCCUCAACAUCUACAGCCCAUCAGGGGCAGAAAAAGGCCAAGAUGGAUCAAGUCCAAAUAUACUGCGCAAACUACUCAAGAAAAGGGAAGGUAAUCUGUCUGCAUUUUAUGCCCAAAUGCUUUUUAGCCACCAUGAGCUCUAUAUUACACCCUGCACAGGAGCUCCACUGACUGAAAUCAACCAAGACAGAUGUCAACAGUGAAACGUUCAUCGCUAUCUUGGGUGCUGCGUGCACAAACCCAACAUUUACAUCCACAAUACAUCAACAGAAUAGUAAAUAAAAUAACAUUGCUGUUCCCGUAAAUGAGCUGC
rnacentral:lncRNA from 1 species